rnacentral:rRNA from 1 species
CCUACGGGUGGCAGCAGUGGGGAAUAUUGGACAAUGGGGGGAACCCUGAUCCAGCCAUGCCGCGUGUGUGAAGAAGGCCCUCGGGUUGUAAAGCACUUUCAGUGAGGAAGAACGCCUGGUGGUUAAUACCCAUCAGGAAAGACAUCACUCACAGAAGAAGCACCGGCUAACUCCGUGCCAGCAGCCGCGGUAAUACGGAGGGUGCGAGCGUUAAUCGGAAUUACUGGGCGUAAAGCGCGCGUAGGUGGCUUGAUAAGCCGGUUGUGAAAGCCCCGGGCUCAACCUGGGAACGGCAUCCGGAACUGUCAAGCUAGAGUGCAGGAGAGGAAGGUAGAAUUCCCGGUGUAGCGGUGAAAUGCGUAGAGAUCGGGAGGAAUACCAGUGGCGAAGGCGGCCUUCUGGACCGACACUGACACUGAGGUGCGAAAGCGUGGGUAGCAAACAGGAUUAGAUACCCUGGUAGUC